CUCCCUCAAACCCCUAGGGUUUGGUGUUGAGCAAUACGACUUGGGUUUGCUUGAAAGAUGAUAGUGGUAUAAGGCGGAGAUGCUUGACAAUGGCUUAGGUGUAACCAAAAACAUUGCUAAGGCGGUCUCUGGCGUCGCCCAUUUUAUUCUUCAAAC
rnacentral:misc_RNA from 1 species